rnacentral:lncRNA from 1 species
AAAUGAUUCAACAAGUUUUUGAUAAUAUAUAUAUUAGUAACGUUUAUAAUGCUAAUGAUAUAUACAGUUUAAUAAAUUUAAACAUAGGAGGUGUAGUGACAUGUUUUAACUGUACUAAUAUAUGUUGGUGUGAUUACAACUCAUCUAAUAAAACAAAAAGAGUCUUUUAUAAAAAUAAGUUUUUAUGCUGUAAACAAGAGUUUGAGAAAAAAGUGAAGUAUGAUUUGUCAACAGAAGGAAAGAAUGAAAUAAAAAAUGAAAAUGUAUUAAUUAAUAAAGAAAAAAACACAGACAAUGAAAACGUGUUAAAAAGUGACAAAGCAGAACAUAAUAAAAAUAAUACAAAUGGAGCUGACCCUGAAAGUAAAAAUGAAGAGACAGAAGAAUCGUCAAACUUGUCUCUUAUAACACAAGGUAUGUGUUAUGAAAUUUGUAAAAAUGCUCAGCCACAUUACGAUUAUAUAAUAUACCCUCAAGAAAUAAUAAAAAAUAAAAUGGAUAAAAAUAUUAUUCAACAUUAUGUCAAUUCUAUGGUAGACCUAAUUAAUGAUACCUCAUUUGAAUAUGACACUUCAUAUAAUAAAGAAAACGAAGGUUGUAUAAACAUAAAUGUAGAUAGUAAUUAUAAUUUAUAUGAACAAGCAAUUAAUAAAACAAUAAUUGAACCAACAAAUGUCCUUAGAAAAAGUAAGUCAGAAGAAGAUCAAUUUUUAAGUUGUAAAAAUAAACCAAAUAUGCCAAUUGGGACAUCAAAAAGUAGUAAUUUUGAUGUAAAUACUCCAGACAUUGUUAUAAAAAACCUCCAUUCAGAUGUCGCUACAAAUGCUGCUGAUACCAAACCACUGACAGAAACAAGUGCUACUACACCAUUACAGACUCUUUGUGAACUAAAUAGAACAUUGCAAAAAAGUUUAAAAGUUUAUUAUAAUAAUAUAUAUGCAAUAAAACAUAUUUAUUUAGAUAUAUUAGACACACGUGAUGAGAACAUUAUACAUCAUUUUGACAC